AUUUUACUAUCACAGUCAUUCUUAGUUUUAAAGCCUGCUAAACUAACAUCAAACUUAUAUGGAGUAUGAAUUAAAAAUAAAAUAAUUUGUUUUAUUUUCUUUAACUUAAUUACAUGUACACGGCUCCAUAUAGCUCAAAAAGGGUCAAAAUAAAUUAUGCCAAAAUAACGUUGCAAGUUAUCGUAAAUUCUUCAUACAUGAGACAAACACUUUACUUGUUCACAGAAAGAACUUAACAAAAAGUUGUAUGAUAUCAUAAAUCAACCACAUCCACCUUCUAGAAGCAUUCAGACUUAACAAGGGCUAAAGCACAUGGUUUUGUAGAUAUAAAAACUUAAUGAAACUCAUACUGCGACUUAUUGAAACAUUCAUUCUCUUGUUCUUUUAGAGUAUGUACCAGAUCCCAAACAAUUUAAACUAACAACGAGGAACAUAGGUGGAUCAAAACAAAACAAAUUAGAUUAUUUAAAUACAGUAAUGAAACUGGUUGUGAAUGUGCAGGUUUUGACAUUCAAACAUUCAGCGAAUCCUUUGAGAAAAUUUCUUGAAGCUAUCUAAACAUGCCCAACUUUUCAUCAUUUGCUAUUAAAGAAAAGGAACCUGUAUUACAAAAGUUUAGAAGGUUAGCUGAAUGGCAAAAGGUAAAAAAUGUUAGCAAUGACUAAAGCAACAGGAACCAACAACAACAAAUAACAACAACUAGCAGCUCUUAGACCAAAGAAAAUGAACCAGAAAUGACCAACAAAGAAAUUGAAACCAGAAAUGAGUCGCUCUAGAAAUUCCUCACAAGAUCCCUCUACUUUUUUAAAGGUUUUGCACUUGAGAAAUCACUCACUCUAGCUCAGAAUUUUUAUCUUAUUAUUUAGGUGUUCAACUGCUCUAUUUUACUCUAAAAGUUGAUUCUUUUGCUAUGUGUUGUAAGAAGUAUGUUUUUAAUAGUCCAAGAUAUUUUUUUUAAUGAUAAAAGAGCUCCUCUUUUUAUAGGGGGAGGAAAGGCCUUGGGCCCGAUUUUGUUUGGCAAAAAUCUGUCCAAGAUGAUAGAUUGUUGACCAAAAAUCUGUCCAAAACUAGAUUUAUGUCCAACGAACAGUUGUUCUUAACAAAUAUGGACAGAAUUUUGGAGCAUUAUGCUCCGAAGUAGUCCGCAGCAAUGAAAAGCAAGAACAAAGAACCCUACACUCAAGUAUUCUCUUUUCUUUCCCUUUCCUCUUAAUUUCUCAAACAAAAUUCAAAGCUAACUAGUCCACAAAGAGAAACUAGAUUCAAUCUAGUCCAAACAGUUAGCAAUUCGAAUAAGAUUAUUUAAGAGUCAGGUAGUAGGAAUCAACAAGACUCAAACAUAUAACUGCCUGUGACGAUCCGACGUGUCGUCAUGUGAGUUAUCACUUUGUUUUCCCGAUUUUCAGCUUUCUUAUGCUUCAUUAUCUGCAUCAUAUGUGAUCGAGUUGGAUUGGAGAGGUUUUGAUAGGGAAUGAUACACUUAAUCUCUUUAAGAAAGGUUUGAUUUGGAAAAGUCAACCGGAUGUCGACUUAUUAGUUAUAGGGUUUGGAUAUUAUUUUCGGUGAUUUAGUUAGCUUUGGGGGAUGAUUUUUGACUUAGGAGCAUAAUCGGAAUUUAUUUUGAAGGUCCGGUAUAGAAUUAGGUUUGAAUUGGCAAAGUUAGUAUUUUGGCGAAUUCCGGUUGAUAGGUGAGAUUUUGAUCCUAAGGUCAGAAUGGAAUUCCGAGAGCUUUUAUAGUUUUGUUAGGUGAUUUGGGAUGUGUGUGAAAAUUUUCAGGUCAUUCAGAGGUGUUUUGGCUGGGUUUUUUAUCAAAUGCGUGUUUCGAAAGUUUUAAAAGAACAUACGCUUGAAUUAGAUGUAAUUUCAUGGUUUUGAUGUUGUUUGUGAUUUUUUGAUGAUUGGAAUGAGUUUGGAUGAUAUUUUAGGAUGUGUUGUUUCUUUCGGUUGAGGUCACGGGGCCUCGGGGUGAUUUCAGAUGGCUAAACAGGAAGUUUUAGACUUCAAAAUCUAGCAGAAAAUGCAGCAGCAGUUGCAUGCCAGAUUUGGCGUUUGCGUUCGCGAAGGUAGUUUCGCAUUUGUGUAAGGGAAAGUCCUGGAGCUUCACGGUCGCAGUGAAGAGCCUGUGUUCGCGUAAAAGAAAGUUAGAUCCCUGAGUCUUUGUACUUCGCGUUCGCAGGUGAGGCACCACGUUAGUUAAGGGCAAUUUGGUUAGAGGCAAGAUUUGUUCAUCGCGAACGCGAUAGAGCCGUCGCGUUCGCAUAGAGUAAAAAUUCAGCUGGGCAGAAGGUUUUGAGUAAUAUUUCAUCUGCGAGCCUAAGUUAUUUUCCUCCAUUGAUUAGCAUCAUCAGAGCUUUUUGGGAGAAAUUGAAGAGACUGGGAUUGUUUGGAAGUAGGAUUUUUGAACUUAAAACUCAUUUUUAUUGUGAAAUCCACCUGGAAAUUCAUGAAAUCUUAUCAAAAAGGGGAAGAACUAGGGCUUGAGUUUGGAUAUAUCAAAUUGGGUUUUGAUGGGUCAUUUAAGCUCGGAUUUGGGAGUUCUUGAUGUGUAUAGACUCGGGGCAAGAUAAGGAAUCCGUUGAUAUAAAAUUUUCUAGAAUUCGAGAAGUGGGCGCGGGGCUUGGGUUCUACCAAUUUUGAGAUAUUUGCUAUUUUCGAUUGUUUUUGAUUGGUUAUUGUUCCAUUGGCAUAUUGUGAUGCAUUUAUAUUGAUUUUAAUUAGAUUUGACGUGCGAGAAGGCCGAUUUGAGAAGCAAGCAAUAGCGAGCUAGAUAUUUGGCCAGCAUGAGAUGAGUAAUGAUAGUAAGAUGUCAGAGGGUUUGAAUCCUCGGAAUCAAACAACGUAGUGCUAUAUUGAGGUGAAACGAAUGCUUAAUGAUGAGCACGAGGGUUGUUUACUACUGGGGAUUGUGACCCGGUCCGUCCUGAUUGAUAUUUUUAUCGUGUAUUUGACUAAAAUGUGUUUGUUAUCAACAUGAUUUGGGCUUAUUGCCAUAUUUUGGGCUUCUUGCCGAUUACUUGAAUCCUUCGUGGAAUUUUAUCACUGUUUCCUCAGUAUUUUGAUAUAUUAAUUGAACUCAGUCCUAUUGACUAAUAUUGUUUUACAAACUCAGCCACUUUUAAUUUAAUUUUGAGAUUUCAAUAAUAUUCCAAUGCUGUUUGGGCUGAGCACUACUAUUUUAUUAAUGUACAAGGGGCUUAUGACGUUUUCUGUACUAAGUGAGGCCGAGGGCGUGAGAUACAUUUAUAAUCCACGAGGUAGCUUGAGUGACGUGAGAAGGCUUUCAGGCCUUGUGAGUGAUGUGAGGAGGCUUUCAGGCUUUAUGAGUGAUGUGAGGAGGCUUUCAUGCCUUAUGAGUGAUGUAAGAAUGCUUUCAGGCCUUAUGUUGAUAUAGCGCUUGCUCCGUAAGGGGUCCCUUCAGAGUCUGCACACCCACAGUAAGCGCGGGUACCCAUAUGAUCUUAUAAUAAGCCCGAGGGGCUGAUACUAUGCUAAGUGGAUGAUAUUGAGCUCGAGGGGCUGAUACUAUGCUGAGUGACUGAUACUGAGCCCAAUGGGAUAAUACUAUGCCGAGUGACUGAGAGUGAGCCCGAUGGCUGAUACUGUGCUGAGCGAUUGAUACUUGGCUCGGGGGCAGAUUACUACUUACUGCUUACUUGUUGUUUUACCUGAAUUACCUGUUUUUAAAUAGGAGAUUUAAUUCGAUUAUUUACGGUUUUACUGCCUGGCAUAGAAUUUCCUUAUGAAUUAACGUGUUUUCAUGCCUUCAGUUAUUAUUUAUUAUUACUCACUGAGUCAGAGUACUCACAUUACUCCUUGCACCAUGAGUACAUAUUCAGGCAUAGAAGAGUCCGCACUUGGGUGCUGAUUUCUUCUGGACCAGGCAGCAAGUUGGAGUUACGAGGUAGCUGUUUACGUCUUCAGCCCCUUGUCUCCCCUAUAUUACAUCAUUUAUGUUUUCUUCAGACUAUUGUAUCGGAUAUUAUAUUUGUAGACUUAUAGAAAACCCUGUAGAAGCUCAUGACUUGUGACACCCCGGUUUGGGCUGUGUCGGGAUGGUAUCCCUUGCUAUUAUCGUUGUUUUCGCAUUUAUAACUAUUUUACACGUAUUUUGGAUUUGUUAAUAUUAAUUAUUUGUUAAGAGAGAUGUUUGCAUUGUACUGGAUAGCCUUGUCUUCACGAAAGGUGCCAUCACGGCGGGGUUUGGGGAUUUGGGUCGUGACAAGUUGGUAUCAGAGCCUAGGUUACUAGGUCUCGUGUGUCAUGAGUUGGUUUAGUAGAGUCUCGGGGAUCGGUAUGGAGACGUCUGUACUCAUCCUCGGGAGGCUGCAGAACUUUUUGGAAAACUUCACAUUCUUGAAAUUUGUGGUGCGAACUUGUUGAUCCGAGCACUAAAUUUUUAUUUAUUCUAUUCUCUCACAGAUGGUGAGGACACGAGCUACCAGACGUGAUGGAUGACCAGCAGUACUACCCACCAAGGCCAACAGAGUCCGUGGACGUGGUCGUGGUAUUGGUAGAGGCAGUGCAGCGGGGACAACACUUGUGGAUCCUCCAGUUGCCCCAGCUCAAGACCAAGCUCCAACAACACUAGUUCAGGCACCAGCUAUGCCUAUUGUGAUUUCGGGUCUUUAGGAGACUUUGGCUUAGAUUUUAAUAGUCUGCACUUGCCUAGCUCAUGCAGUUUCAGCCACCACAGCAGCAACUACUUCGCAGGUUGGAGGAGGAAAUAUACCCCGGCCGCUCGCACACCUAAGCAGGUAGAGCAGGGGCACCUCUAACUCAGCUAGUUGCACCAUUGCAGGAGUUUAGGGGUCCAACUAUACCUGAGGAUGAGUAGUGUCACCUCGAGAGGUUUGAUAGACUCCAGCCUCCGAUGUUUAGUGGGUCUGAGGGCGAGGAUGCCUAGUGUUUCUUGACAUGUACCGGCGGAUGCUAUGUACAACAUGGAUUCUGGAGUCUAGUGGUGUGGAAUUUACCACCUUUCAGUUUACUAGGGUUGCCUUCACUUAGUGGGAGGCGUAUGAGAGGUGCAGGCCGGCUGGUGCGGCACCUUUGACUUGGCAGGAGUUCUCCACUCUCUUCUUGGAGAAGUAUGUACCGCAGUCCCACAGAGAGGAGAUGCACAGGAAGUUUUAGUGGCUAUGGCAGGGAGAUAUGACUAUGUAUCAGUAUGAGAUGAGGUUUUAAGAGUUGGCUCAUCAUGCUGUUUGGAUGGUUCCGACUGAUCGCGAGCAUAUCAGGAGAUUUAUUGAUGGCUUUAACUACCAUCUCCAUUUCAUGAUAAUUAGAGAGAGAGAGUAUUGGGUGCUAUGUUCGAGGAGGUGGUUGAUAUAGCUCGAGAGAUUAAGGCAGUUCACCGUCAAGAUCGAGAGGAGAGAAAGGCCAAGAGGCCUCGAGGUUCUAGUAGGUAUAGUGGUGCUCCUUCGAGGGGCUAGUUCCAGCAGGGUAGGGGUCGUUCUUUCAGACCCGAUCAGUCAGCCCGACUCGAGUAUCUUGGGUCAUCUUCAGGCCGUUGUUAUCAUGGUCCUCAACAGAGUCAGCCUUCACUUAGCGCUCUUCCAGCACUGAGUUCAUCUUGUGCUUCGUCUAUUUAGGGUUCUUCUAGGUCGAGUGUAUCAGCUAGUCACUCAGGCGCGAAGGUUUACCUUCACUCCCAUGCUCCAGCACCUAGGAGUUGUUAUGAGUAUGGAGAGUUGGGGCAUAUGUAGAGGAAGUGUCCUCGUCGUAUUGCUAGCUCAUCUCAGCAGAGGGGUCGGCCCUCAUCUUCUGGCCUAAUUUCUUCAGCACUUAUCCUGCCAGCUAGGGGUGAGGGUCAGACAGCCAGGGGUUCGAAGUAGUCCGCAGCAAUGGUAGGGGUCGUUCUUUCAGACCCGAUCAGUCAGCCCGACUCGAGUAUCUUGGGUCAUCUUCAGGCCGUUGUUAUCAUGGUCCUCAACAGAGUCAGCCUUCACUUAGCGCUCUUCCAGCACUGAGUUCAUCUUGUGCUUCGUCUAUUUAGGGUUCUUCUAGGUCGAGUGUAUCAGCUAGUCACUCAGGCGCGAAGGUUUACCUUCACUCCCAUGCUCCAGCACCUAGGAGUUGUUAUGAGUAUGGAGAGUUGGGGCAUAUGUAGAGGAAGUGUCCUCGUCGUAUUGCUAGCUCAUCUCAGCAGAGGGGUCGGCCCUCAUCUUCUGGCCUAAUUUCUUCAGCACUUAUCCUGCCAGCUAGGGGUGAGGGUCAGACAGCCAGGGGUUGCACUAGAGGGGGGCCAAUCAGACGAUGGUGAGGCUCUUUUUUAUGCUCUUCCAUGCUGGACAAAUGUCAUUGCCUCAUAUGUUGCCAUUACAUGUAUUAUUUCAGUCUAUCGUAGAGAUGCCUCAGUCUUAUUUGAUCCCGGUUCCAUCUAUUUUUAUGUGUCCUCAUAUUUUGCUUAUCAUUGGGUACGUCCUGAGGGUGUCUAGCUUUACCUAUUAACCUAUCUACCCCGGAGAGCGAUACUAUUAUUGUAGACCAUGUGUAUCGAUCAAGUUUGGUGACUAUUGGGGGUCUGGAGACUUGAGUUGAUCUAUUGUUAUUGAGCAUGGUGGAUUUUGACAUUAUUUUGGGCAUGGACUAGUUAUCUCCGUGUCAUGCUGUUCUAGACUAUCAUGCUAAGGCAGCCACUUUAGCUAUACUGGGUGUACCGAGGAUCGAGUAGCGUGGUGUGACUGAUUAUGUUCCUAGUAGAGUGAUUUCAUUCUUAAAGGCCCAGCGUAUUGUUGGGAAGGGUUGCCUUUCAUAUUUGGCAUUUGUGAGGGAUGUUGGAGCCGAGACACCUAACAUUGAUUAUGUUUUAGUUGUGAGGGAGUUUUCCGAUGUAUUUUCUGAAGACCUGCAAGGCAUGCCACCGGACAGAUAUCUUGAUUUUGGUAUUAACCUAGUGCCGGGGACUCAUACCAUUUCCAUUCCUCCAUAUCGUAUGGCAUUAUCAGAAUUGAAAGAAUUGAAAGAUCAGCUUCAGGAACUCCUAAAUAAGGGGUUCAUUCGGCCUAGUGUGUCACCGUAGGGUGCACCGGUUUUGUUUGUAAAUAAGAAGGAUGGCACCAUGAGAAUGUGCAUUGACUACAGGAAAUUGAAAAAAGCAACAGUGAAGAAAAAAUAUCUUUUGCCUAAAAUUGAUGAUUUGUUUGACCAGCUUCAGAGAGUGAGGGUGUUAUCCAAGAUUGAUCUCCGUUCGGAUUAUCACCAGUUGAAGAUCAGGGAUUCAGAUAUUAUUAGUACUGCUUUCAGGAAUAGAUGUGGGCACUAUGAGUUUCUUGUUAUGUCUUUGGUCUAACUAGCGCCCCAGCAACAUUCAUGCAUUUGAUGAUCAGUGUAUUUCGGCCAUAUCUGGAUUCGUCGUUAUUAUUUUCAUUGAUGAUAUUCUGGUGUACUCGCAUAGUUAGGAGGAGCAACCACAACAUUUGCGAGUUGUAUUGCAGAGAUCGAGGAAGGAGAAACUUUAUGCAAAGUUCUCCAAGUGUGAGUUCUGGCUCACUUCAGUGGCUUUCUUGGGGCACGUAGUGUCCAUCAAGGGUAUCCAGGUCGACCCGAGGAAGAUAGAGGCAGUUCAGAGAUGGCCUAGACCAACCUCAUCCAUAGAGAUUCGUAGUUUCCUUAGUUUACCAGGUUAUUAUCGCCAAUUUGUUCAGGGAUUUUCCUCUAUUGCAUCGCCCUUGACCAAGUUGACUCAUAAGGGUGCUCCAUUGGUAUAGUAGGACAAGUGCGAGGAGAGCUUUCAAAAGCUCAAGACAACUUUUACCACAGCUCUAGUAUUGGUUUUUCCUUCAGCUUCAGGUUCUUAUACUGUAUAUUGUGAUUCUUCGAGAGUUGGGAUUGGAUGUGUAUUGAUGCAGGAAGGUAGAGUGAUUUCCUAUGCUUCACGUCAGUUGAAGCCCCGCGAGAAGAACUACCAUGUUCAUGAUUUAGAUUUGGUUGCUAUAGUUCAUGCUUAAAGAUUUGGAGGCACUACUUGUAUGGUGUAUCUUGUGAGGUAUUCACCGAGCAUCGCAUGCUUCGACAUUUGUUCAAGCAAAAGGAUCUUAAUUUGAGGCAGUAGAGGUGGCUAGAGUUACUUAGGGAUUAUGAUAUUACCAUUUUAUAUCACCUGGGGAAGGCCAAUGUAGUGGCCGACACUUUGAGCCGAAAGGCAGUUAGCAUGGGGAGUUUGGCAUAUAUUCCAGUUGGGGAGAGGCCCUUUGCAGUUGAUGUUCAGGCCUUGGCCAAUUGGUUGGUGAGACUAGAGAUUUUGGAGCCCAGUCGGGUUUCGCCUGUGUGGUUUCUCGGUCUUCCUUAUAUGACCGCACCGGAGAGCGCCAGCAUGAUGAUCCGCAUUUGCUUGUCCUUAAGGACAAGGUUCAUCAUGAUGAUUUCAGAGACGUGACCAUUGAUGAGGAUGGUCUUCUUAGGAUACAAGGACGGAUUUGUGCCCAAAGUGGAUGGGCUUCGGGAGUAGAUAUUGGAGGAGGCCCAUAGCUCAGGGUAUUCCAUUCAUCUAGGUGCCGCGAAGAUGUAUCAGAAAUUUGAGGCAGCACUAUUGGUGGAGAAGAAUGAAGAAGGACAUUAUAGGGUUUGUGGCUCGGUGUCUCAACUGUCAGCAAGUGAAAUAUGAGCAUCAGAGAUCGGGUAGCGUGCUUCAGCGGAUGGUUAUUCUUGAGUUGAAAUGGGAGAGAGUUACUAUGGAUUUUGUGAGUGGUCUUCCUCAGACUUUGAAGAAGUUUGAUUCGAUUUGGGUGAUUGUUGAUCGGCUGGCCAAGCCUGCAUACUUUAUUCCAGUAUGUACUGCCUAUUCUUUAGAGUGGCUGGCAGGGAUCAUUAUCUAGGAGAUUGUCCGAUUACAUGGUGUUCUAGUAUCUAUCAUCUCAGAUAGGGGUACUCAGUUUACUUCUCAGUUCUAGAAAACUUUUCAGCGAGAGUUGGGUACACAGGUGGAGUUGAGCACAUCAUUUCAUCGUCAGACGGAUGGGCAGGCCGAGCAUACUAUUCAGAUACUGGAGGACAGUUGCGUGCCUGCAUUAUUGAUUUUGGAGGUUUUUGGGAUUUUUUUUACUGCUUUCAGAGUUUUCCUACAACAAUAGUUAUUAGUUGAGCAUUCACAUGGAUCCGUAUAAGGCGUUGUGUGGGAGGCGGUCUAGAUCUCCAGUUGGUUGGUUCGAGCCCGGUGAGGCUAGGUUAUUAGGGACAGAGUUGGUUUAGGAUGCCUUAGAGAAGGUGAAGCUGAUUCAGGAGAGCCUUCGUACAACACAGUCGCGUCAGAAGAGUUAUGCAGACCAGAAGGUUUGAGAUGUGUCUUAUAUGGUUGGUGAGAAGGUCUUGUCGAAGUUUUCGCCCAUGAAGGGUGUUAUGCGGUUUGGAAAGAAAGGGAAGCUGAGUCCACGGUUCAUUGGACAUUUUUAGGUACUUAGGAGGAUUGAGGAGGUGGCCUAUAUGCUUGCUUUGCCACCCAGCCUGUCAGGCGUGGACCCGGUAUUUCAUGUAUCCAUGCUCCGAAAGUAUGUUGGGGACCCGUCCCAUAUACUGGACUUCAGCACAGUUCAGCUGGAUGAUGAUUUGACCUAUGAUAUGGAGCCGAUGGCUAUUUUUGGUCGUCACGUUCAAAAGUUGAGAUCAAAGGAUAUAGCUUCGAUGAAAGUGCAGUAGAGAGGUCGGCCCAUGGAAGAGGCCACUUGGUAGAUCGAGCGGGAGAUGUAGAGAAGAUAUUUGCACAUAUCUGAGGCUUCAGGUACGCUUCUUGACCCGCUCGAGGACCAACGUUUAUUUUAGUUGGGGAGGAUGUGACGACCUGACCCAUCGUCAUGUGAGUUACCGCUUCUUUUUCCCUAUUUUCAGCUUCCUUAUGCUUUAUUAUCCGUAUCUUAUGUGACCGAGUUGGAUUGGAGAGGUUUUGGUAUGAAAUGAGACACUUAGUCUCUUUAAGGAAGGUUUGGUUUGGAAAAGUCAAUCGGAUGUUGACGUAUGAUUCAUAGGGUUGGUAUGUGAUUUUCGGUGAUUCGGUUUGCUUCGGGGGAUGAGUUGUGACAUAGGAACGUGCUCGAAAUUUAUUUUGGAGGUCUGGUGUAGAAUUAGGCUUGAAUUGGCGAAGUUAGUAUUUUGACAAACUCCACUUGAUAGGUGAGAUUUUGAUUCGAGGGUCGGAAUGAAAUUUCGAGAGUUGUUGUAUCUUCGUUAGGUUAUUUGGGAUAUGUGUGCAAAUUUUAAGGUCAUUCAGAGAUGUUUUGGUCAGGUUUUUUAUCAAAUGCGUGUUUCGGAAGUUUGAAAGAACUUACGCUUGAAUUCGAUAUAAUUUGAUGGUUUUGGUGUUGUUUGUGGUGUUUUGAUGAUUGGAACGAGUUCGGAUGAUGUUUUAAGAUGUGUUGGUGCUUUCGAUUGAGGUCUCGGGGGCCUUGGGGUGAUUUCGGAUGGCUAAACGGGAAGUUUUAGACUGUGAAAUGUAGCAAAAAAUGUAGCAGUAGGUGCAUGCCAGAUUUAGCCUUCGCGUUCGCGAAGGUAGGUUCGCAUUCGCGUAAGGGAAAGUCAUGGAGCUUCGCGUUCGCGGAGAGGAGCCCGCAUUCGCGUAAAAGAAAGUUGGGUCCCCGAGUCUUUUUUCUUCGUGUUGGAAAGUGAGGCACUGCGUUUGCGAAGGGUAAUUUGGCCGGAGGCAAGAUUUGUUCAUCGCGAACGCGAUAGAGCCCUUGCAUUCGCAUAGUGUAAAAAUUCAGCUGGGCAGAAGGUUUUUAAUAAUAUUUCAUCUGCGAGUCUAAGUUAUUUUCCACCAUUGUUGAGCAUCUUGAGAGAAUUUUAGGAGAAAUCGAAGAGGGUUUCAACUAGGAUCGUUUGGAGGUAAACGUUUUGAACUUAAAACUCGUUUUUAUUGUGAAAUUUACAUAGAAAUUCAUGAAAACUUAUCAAAAAGGAGAAGAACAACGGGUUGAGUUUGGAUAUUUCAUAUUGGGUUUUGAUGGGUCAUUUGAGCUCAGAUUUGGGGGUUCGUGAUAUGUAUAGACUCGUGGAAAGAUAAAGAAUCCGUUGAUGUAAAAUUUUCUAGAAUUCGAGAAGUGGUUCAGGGGCUUGGGUUGUGCCAAUUUCGAGAUAUUUGCUAUUUUUCGAUUGUUUUUGAUUGGGUAUUGUUCCAUUGGCAUAUUAUGAUGUAUUCGUUGUGAUUUUGAUCAGGUUCGACACAUGAGGAGGCCGAUUUGAGAACCAAGGGCAUAGCGAGCUAGAGAUUUGGUCGGCUUGAGGUGAGUAAUGAUAGUAAAUGAUGUCCUGAGGGAUUGAAACCCCGGAAUUGCACAACAUCGUGCUCUAUUGAGGUGAAACACGUGCUUAAUAAUGAGCGCAUGGGUUGUUUACUACUGUGGAUUGUGACCUAGUCCGUCCCGGUUAAUAUUUUUAUCGCAUAUUUGAUUGAGACGUGUUUGUUAUCAGCCUGAUUUUGGAUUAUUGCCAUAUUUUAGGCUUCUUGCCGAUUACUUGAAUCCUUCGGGGACUUUAUCACCAUUUCCUCAGUAUUUUGAUAUACUACUUGAACUCAGUCCUAUUGAUUAGUUUUCUUUUACAAAGUCAACCACUUUUAAUUGAAUUUUGAGAUUUAAAUGAUAUUCCAAUGUUGUUUGGGCUGAGCAGUACUAUUUUAUUGAUGCCCAAGGGGCUUAUGACGUUUUCUGUACUAUGUGAGGCCGAGGGCCUGAGAUACCAUUAUAAGCCACGGGGUGGCUUGAGUGACGUGAGAAGGCUUUCAGGCCUUGUGAGUGAUGUGAGGAAGCUUUCAGGCCUUGUGAGUGAUUUGAGGAGGCUUUCAAGACUUAUGAGUGAUGUAAGAAGGCUUUCAGGCCUAUGUUGAUAUAUCGCUUGGGCCGUAAGGGGCCCCUCCGGAGUCUGCACACCCACAGUGAAUGUGGGCACCCAUAUGAUCUAAUACUGAGCCCGAGGGGCUGAUACUAUGCUGAGUGACUGAUACUGAGCCCAUUGGGCUGAUACUAUGCUGAGUGACUAUCAAAAAAAAAUUAAAGGAGCAUGAAGCGACAAAUUUAAGAUUUUAUUUCAAGCGAUUACCAAUGGUCAAGGACAUAAAUAAAACACGAUAAUUAGACACAACAUGUAUUAGCAGUGAGAUAUUCUUAAAAUAGAUUAACUUAAACAAAGGCAAAAUCAGAAAUUAGACUAAACAUGAAGGUUUAACAAAAACCAAAAUCAGAAUUUAAUCUAUAAAUAACGACACAAAAAAAUAGAAAAAUCAAAACUUUAGAGGAUAGGAUAAAGGUUAAAGGUUUUUACCUAGUUCUGGGCUUUUGAUGUCUAACUGAUUAAAGAGACGAUGCCGAGAAUGCUAAGUGGUGAUUGCCCGACCCCAAGGAACAUGUUUCUUUUUGGUAGACGCUAAAAUAAUAGAUUCCGGUGUCUUACCAAAAGGAAACAAGAGACCUUUGGUCGAAAAGAAAUUUAAAAAAUUAGGAAAGAAACAACGACAGAGCGACGGGCAGUGGGGUGCCCGUCAGAAGUGGAUGUCCGGUGGUUGUGUAUUGUUUGGGGGUGAAACCAACAUAGGAUGAUAGAUCAUGGGGAUCUCUACACGCCUAAGCAAGUAUUUUUUGAAUGAGAGGUCUAAUUCCCGACAAAUUUACAAAAUAAAUUGGGCUAAGGUUUCAGAUUUUGGUUUAUUCGUGGAGUUUGGGUGGGAUUCGAAGGAUUUUGUCCGUGGAUUUGGGAAGAGGAGGUUGAGAUGGGUACGGAUGAAAUUUUGGUGGUGUUUGGAGGGGCUUUUCCACUAGUGGAGAAUUCCGGCGAGAGGAGCCGCUAUGCAGAAGGUGGCGGCAGGCAGAGAGGUUUAGAGAGAGAGGAUAGAGUGAAGAGAGAUCUUUCCGGUUUGGGUAAAUGGCCAAAAAUUUGAUUUUUUGGAUC
rnacentral:lncRNA from 1 species